CUCUCCUGGUCUCUGUGGACUCCUGCAGUCACGCACCCUCGGGCUUGGAAGUGUCUUCCUCAAUUGGUAGUAGUGCAGAUCAAAUCUGAAGUAGGGACAUUCAAAGAUCUUCUAGGGUGGACCAAAGCAUCUAAUGUAGACUGUAAAGAUAACAUGGGACUAUCUACGACCAGAGAAGAAAUCUUGAUGGAGCUGGGGAUAAGCUCAGUGAAAAUUAUGUUUAACUAACUUUGAGUUUUUUGAAGAGUUAAUUGAGAGGGAUGGUGAACUUAAUGACUGUUGAUAUUAUAUACAUGGACUUCCAAAAAGUAUUUCAUGCAGUGCCACACAACCGAUGUGUGAACAAAGCUAUAGUUCGAGAAAUGAAAGGGACAGUAUCAACAUGAAUUCAAAUUUGGAGCUGUCAAAAUAUGUUAGAAACAGUGGGAAAACAGCAACAAUCACCAGGACCCAGAGAACGAGGCUCACAGCAACUGCAUGCCAAGAUGUCAUAGAUGUUUGAUACAACUGACUUUGCUGCAGCAUUUCACAUGAGGACAUUUAUGAGUCAACUGAAUUGCUUGGAUCUGGACUCACAUAUGUGCCAGACCAGGGUAUUCGGCUUGUUCCAGGACCUGGACUAUUUCUGUAACUACACCCAGCAAGAGAGUGAAUGCAACUGUUCUUUGAAGUACCAUAGAAACCCAGAAACAGUGGGAAAACAGCAAAAAACACCAAUGUCCAGA